UGCCCUUGCAAACGUCAGCAUUGAAAAGCCAAUCCACAUGGGAGCUGAUGCCCCAGUCAAUGGCCAUAUUCGCAUCCGAGCCAAAAGCCAGGGUAUGGCUUUGAGUCUGGGUGACAAAAUCAACCUCUCUCAGAAGAAGUCCUUCUCGUAAAUUUCAGAAACUGAGGCCAUUGAUGCAAAGGGCGAGAUUCAACUAAAAAGCGCUAUGGUCAUUCCUAUGUCUUGUCUUUUUUUUUCUCUCUCGCUUGUCUCUCCAGACUACCGUACACAUACAGUGCUCUGUGACCAAGAUCUAAUCGCUUCAAUUCCUCAAACUAUGUCUAAAGGGGAUCACUUUUCAUGACAUUUUCUACCAACAUGAUUCUUCUUAACUGCUCUGAAAGGGAUUGACCCUGUUAAUCAGUAAUCUGUUUCAAUAAACAUUGCACACCAUAUAC